UACCCGCUGAAUUUAAGCAUAUCAGUAAGCGGAGGAAAAGAAACUAACCAGGAUUCUCCUAGUAACGGCGAGUGAACGGAGAUUAGCCCAUCACCGAAGUCCGGUGCUUUUGCAUACAGGACAAUGUGGUGUUUAAGCUUGUACCUGGGACUGCGAAUCUACCCGAAGUCCAACUCCGAUUGUGGCUUUGGAUUGUGCCCAUAGCGGGUGGUAGGCCCGUACGGGUAGAUUCUUGUUUGCGGCGGUCCUCAGACGUACUUGCUUUCGAGUCGGAUUGCUUGAGAAUGCAGUCCAAAGUGGGUGGUAAACUCCAUCCAAGGCUAAAUACUGGCACGAGUCCGAUAGUAGACAAGUACCGUGAGGGAAAGUUGAAAAGUACUCUGAAGAGAGAGUAAACAGCACGUGAAGCUGGUUGCAGGGAAGCUGGUGGAGUCAAGCUUCAUGCUUGAAUGAUUUAUGUCAGUGACAAUGUGUUAUGUGGACAUGCGGCUAGUCAGCUUGGAAUAAGUUGGGCGCAUUCUUGUGCUUCAAGUCAUUCCGGGAAGUGUGAUUGUGCUGGUCGUUUAUUGUUCAGUUGCUGGCAUUCUAUCAUUCGUUGCAUAAAUCACGGUUGAUGGCUGCAUGCUGUGUGAUCGUCUAACUGUGCUUUGAUGGGCUUUCAGUUCGUCAGGUGCAGGAUGGCAGGUUGUGGCUGAUGACCUCCGGUUGUCAGUCAUUUAUAGUGGUUUUGACCAGCCGAUGAUCAUGUGGUGUUGUGGCUAUCAUUGUUUCAUUCUGGUGAUCUUCGGAUCGUCAGUUGGUUAGAACCGUGAUUCUGAGGUAGAUGUUCCACCCGACCCGUCUUGAAACACGGACC
rnacentral:rRNA from 1 species